rnacentral:rRNA from 1 species
AUUGAACGCUGGCGGCAUGCCUUACACAUGCAAGUCGAACGGUAACAGAGCUUCGGAUGCUGACGAGUGGCGAACGGGUGAGUAAUACAUCGGAACGUGCCUAGUAGUGGGGGAUAACUACUAGAAAGAGUGGCUAAUACCGCAUGAGAUCUACGGAUGAAAGCAGGGGAUCGCAAGACCUAGCGCCACUAGAGCGGCCGAUGGCAGAUUAGGUAGUUGGUGGGAUAAAAGCUUACCAAGCCGACGAUCUGUAGCUGGUCUGAGAGGACGAUCAGCCACACUGGGACUGAGACACGGCCCAGACUCCUACGGGAGGCAGCAGUGGGGAAUUUUGGACAAUGGGCGCAAGCCUGAUCCAGCAAUGCCGCGUGCAGGAUGAAGGCCUUCGGGUUGUAAACUGCUUUUGUACGGAACGGAAAGCCCUGGGUUAAUACCCUGGGGUCAUGACGGUACCGUAAGAAUAAGCACCGGCUAACUACGUGCCAGCCGCCGCCGUAAAAC